CGAGAUAUAUAUUCCCGAGAGCCUCCCUGCAUUAACAAACUUUGUGGAAGAGAACCAUCAAACAUUUCUCCUUCAGAAAGAAACAUCACAAUAGUUUCAGGGUUGCUUUCCACAAAGUUGUAGUCAUGAUAUCAUCAUUCUACUACCAACCUGAAUUGACUGGGCUAAAUAAAGAACUGCCCAGAACUGGUGAAGGGAAAUUCAUGGUGGACCUCUUUAGACCUGUCACAUUCAGGCAUGGACUCAGGAAACCAAAAAGCCCAGGCAACCACAGGCAACCACAUCCAAAUCAAGCUCUUUCGGAAAGCAAUUCAUAACAGUCUGAAGCUAUCAGCCACGCAUUAGUUUCUAAAGCAAAUUGACCUCCCAGCCUGAUGAUGUUACGCACCAUUAACUCAGCUCGACAGUCCAGCUGUUGUUCAAGUUCUGAAAGCAAAGAAUAACAAAAAAUAAAAUUUAGGCAAAAAGCACCGGCCGUUGACAUCUGAAAUAGACUGAUGCCCUCACACAAACGAAAGCCUUAAUGUUCCACUUCAUCACCCACUCCAUUGCUGAUGCCUACUCAAAAAGUCUGUGGCACCAUCAAGCUGAUCCAGAUUACCAGAUGACCAGCAUAAAACCAAAGCAUUGACUGCAGGAACAUAGGACGCUACAUGUUGUGCCUUGAGAGAAGCAUGAUGUGGUGCACUCAUAGAUUCUGCAAUAAUCUCCGAUUAAUAUGCUUUGCAAAACAUUCACCAGUUUCCCAACAAGAAAAUGUUCAGCUGCUUCCUAGCAAAUGAAAAGGAGUGAGUCGUCAUCUUAAAGAACCAGGAUCUGCUUUACUCUUUAAAAAGCUCCCCUUGAAGUUCAAAUCCCAUCCAAUGGUCAAAAGAAUGCUUUGUUGCUUAAUAUGUUGCAGCAACCCCGAAGUCGGGGAUACCUGCAGUACAUUUACCUAAUGUGGAGCCUCCCCUACCACCAUAAUCCACAAAUGAGUCUGAAAAGUACAGUUAAGAAAGCAAGCAUGAAACAUAAUUUUUAACAGCCUCUCCCGUUG
rnacentral:lncRNA from 1 species